rnacentral:rRNA from 1 species
AUUGAACGCUGGCGGCAUGCUUUACACAUGCAAGUUGAACGGCAGCGCGGGCUUCGGCCUGGCGGCGAGUGGCGAACGGGUGAGUAAUGCAUCGGAACGUGCCCAGUAGUGGGGGAUAGCCCGGCGAAAGCCGGAUUAAUACCGCAUACGACCUGAGGGUGAAAGCGGGGGACCGAAAGGCCUCGCGCUAUUGGAGCGGCCGAUGUCGGAUUAGCUAGUUGGUGGGGUAAAGGCUUACCAAGGCGACGAUCCGUAGCUGGUCUGAGAGGACGACCAGCCACACUGGGACUGAGACACGGCCCAGACUCCUACGGGAGGCAGCAGUGGGGAAUUUUGGGCAAUGGGGGCAACCCUGAUCCAGCCAUGCCGCGUGCGAGAAGAAGGCCUUCGGGUUGUAAACCGCUUUUGUUCGGGAAGAAAUCCUCUGGGCUAAUACCCCGGGGGGAUGACGGUACCGGAAGAAUAAGCACCGGCUAACUACGUG